rnacentral:rRNA from 1 species
CACGGGGGGGAGCAAGCGUUGUUCGGAAUCACUGGGCGUAAAGGGCGUGUAGGCGGUUCGGUAAGUGAGAUGUGAAAUCCUCCGGCUCACCCGGAGACCUGCAUCUCAAACUGCCGGACUAGAGUAUGGGAGAGGACAAGGGAAUUCCUGGUGUAGCGGUGAAAUGCGCAGAUAUCAGGAGGAACACCAAGUGGCGAAGGCAGCGCGCUGGGACGUGACUGACGCUGAGACGCGAAAGCGUGGGGAGCAAACAGG